rnacentral:rRNA from 1 species
AGCAGCCGCGGUAAUUCCAGCUCCAAUAGCGUAUAUUAAAGUUGUUGCAGUUAAAAAGCUCGUAGUUGAAUUUCGGGAUCAAUAUGUUGGUCGUGCCUUGGUACGUACUAAUUUAUUGGUUUCUUCCUUCUGACGAACCUUGAUGUCAUUAAUUUGGUGUCUUGGGGAAUCAGGACUGUUACUUUGAAAAAUUAGAGUGUUUAAAGCAGGCUCACGCUUGAAUACAUUAGCAUGGAAUAAUGAAAUAGGACGUUUGAUUCUAUUUUGUUGGUUUCUAGGAUUGACGUAAUGAUUAAUAGGGAUAGUUGGGGGCAUUAGUAUUCAAUUGUCAGAGGUGAAAUUCUUGGAUUUAUUGAAGACUAACUACUGCGAAAGCAUUUGCCAAGGAUGUUUUCAUUAAUCAAGACGAAAGUUAGGGGAUCGAAGACGAUCAGAUACCGUCGUAGUCUU